UUUGGGUCCCAGUUAGGUGUCUGCGCAGAAUGUUUUUUGAUUUUAUUUAUACUUUGUGGUAAUAUACCUACAUGUAUUAAGUUUCAUUAACAAGUGUUACUGUUACCAGUUUUGACUUACUUUUAUAGAUAUUCACAUUUAAAGUAGGUGGAGUAAUCUGACAUGUGAUCAGCCAGGAACACAAUUUCUGUUAUCUUUUUUAAAAUGGUUCUAACUUUUUACCUGAAACUUUCAUGGUAAAAUAACUAAGCAAUGGACAUUCACCAUGUUGCAUUUUAAAUUGUACUGACUAUUUUUUUCAUUACAGAGCCACAGAGUGGUCUAAUCAAAUUUACUGAUUUUCAGUGGACAAACUUCACCCAAAAGCUAAAACACUUUUUAUUAGUUGAGAUAUUAAGGUGUUAUUUUCAGCAGAUAUUGUAAACUAAAUAAACAUUAAAAUGACAGUAUAUCAGUACACUCUGAUUAAUAUUGCAAGAGUGGUAUACUCUCAAACUAGAAAAAAGUGGGUGGGGUAAAUUCAUAUUCGAAGCAACACUACAAAAAUUGUGCAGUUGUUAAGAAAUGGCCACAGAUUGUCUAUUACUCUCUUAAUUUUAUGAAAUACAGCAUUGACUGAUAAGUUUUAGCAAAACAUUUCCCAGUUUAUGCAUGUGUGUCAUGGAAAAAGCAUGGACCGUGAACAUGACAUGUAGACAAACCAAAUUAACCCUAAAAGCUCAAAGUAUUUAACAAAAGGUUUUGCCUGAGGCAGUAUAUUUUGAGGAAAGCAAGCUAUUGUUCAUAUUAAGAUUAAAUUUUCUGCAUUCGCAAUUUCAAUGUAGUUUAGAAUAUACAGGAAUAUAGGUCUUCUACAUGUACCUGGUAGCUUUGACAGUCUCUUUCAGGUAGCCGUAGUGCAGGUAGUUUUAAUAUUCUAUCUAGUUUGUCAGAAAAUUUUUUGUUGGAUUUUUUUCGUACGUUCGAACAAAUAAGAGAACAGAAAAAGAAUUAAUUUCUUAAAAAAAAACACAAUUUGAAUUUUGUUCGUACGUACAAACAAAUCCAGGGUCUAUAUACAAAGAUUAAUUUUCAGUUCUGACAUUUUGUUUGAACAGCCCAGAUUUGUUCCUACGUACGAACAAAUUUCCAAAUUGCAUUCAAAAAUUAUUUUUCUUUUCUUAUAAUCAUUUGCUUGUAUGUACGAACAACCUGGAUUUGUUCGCACAUACAGAACAGAAAAAGAAUUAUUUUUUAAAAUAUGCAAUUUGGAAUUUUGUUCGUACGUACAAGCAAAUCAAGGGUCAGUAUACAAAGAUUUAUUUUCAGUUCUGACAUUUUGUUUGAACAGCCCUGAUUUGUUCGUACGUACGAACAAAUUUCAAAGUUGCAUUUAAAAAUUCUUUUUCUUUUCUCAUAAUCAUUUGUUCGUACGUACAAACAGCCUGGAUUUGUUCGUACGUACGAACAAAUGAGAGAACUAAAAAGAAUUUUAAAACAAAAAGCAAUUUAGAACUGUUUUCAUACGUACGAACAAAUCCAGGGACGUGCUGUAUGCAGAAGAUUAAUAUUCAGUUUUGACAUUUUGUUCGUACGUACGAACAAUCUGUGGACUAUAUGCAUUUGAAAAAUGCUCAAGACAUCAAAAGAAUUUCCAUAUCAGUCUGAGUUGUACGUACGAACAAAUAUGAAAACUGAAAAUUAAUCUUAAUGCAAUUUGGAAAAUUGUUCGUACGUACGAGUAUAUAUGAAAAUUGAAAAAGAGCCUGUAUGUUUUGUAAUAUUGUUCGUACGUAACAACAAAUCUGGGCUCUGUAUGCAUUUGAAAUAUAUUCAAGAUGUCCAAACAAUUUUUAUAAGAGCUUAGGUUGUUCGUACGUACGAACAAAAGUGCAUACAGUCCCAAAUUUUGUUCGUAUGUAGGAACAAUAUUCCAAAUGCUUACAGAUUCUUUUUCAGUUCUCACAUUUGUUCGUACUUACGAACAGCCUAGGCUGUUUUAGAAAUUGAUUGGAUGUCUAAACAUUUUUCAAAUGCAUACAGUGCCCAUAUUUGUUCGUACGUACGAACAAAGUAUCAGAACUGAAAAUUAAUCUGCUGCAUACAGUCCCUGGAUUUGUUCGUACAUACGAACCAAAUUCCAAAUUGCAUUUACAAAUAUUUUUCAGUUCUCACAUUUGUUCGUACGUACGAACAGCCCUGACUGAUAUGAAAAUUAUUGGGAUGUCUUAGAUAUUUUUCAAAUGCAUACAGUCCACAGAUUUGUUCCUACGUACAAACAAAAUGUCAGAACUGAAAAUUAAUUUCUUGCAUACAAUCCCUGGAUUUGUCCGUACGUACGAACAAAAUUCCAAAUUGCAUUUACAAAAUAGAGUUCUCACAUUUGUUCGUACGAAUGAAAAACUUAGACUGAUAUGAAAAUUUGUUUGGAUGUCUUGGACAUUUAUAAAUGCAAACAGUCCACAGAUUUGUUCGUACAUACGAACAAAAUGUCAGACCUGAAAAUUAAUCUCUUGCAAACAGUCCCUCAAUUUGUUCGUACGUGCGAACAAAAUUCCAAAUUGCAUUUUCAAAUAUUUCUUCAGUUCUCUCAUUUACAAACAAUUCCAGUCUGUUCGUACAAAUGACUGUGAGAAAUGAAAAAUAAUUUUUACAUGUAAUUUGAAAUUUUGUUCGUACGUACAAAUCUGGGCUGUUCGAACAGAAUGUCAGAACUGAAAAAUAAUACGGAAAAUGGAUUAUUGUUAGUACGUACGAACAGCCAGGAUUUGUUCGUACGUACAAACAAAAUUCCAAAUUACAUUUACAAAUUCUUUUACUGAUAUGGAAAUUCUUUGGAUGUCUUGGACAUUUUUCAAAUGAAUACAGUCCACAGAUUUGUUCGUAUGUACGAACAAAAUUCCAAAUUGCAUUUUACAGAUUCUUUUUAGUUCUCUCAUUUGUUCGUACGUACGAACAAAUCCAGGCUGUGUGUACGUAUGAUCAAAUGAAUGUGAGAAAUAAAAAAGAAUUUUUAAGCAAUUUGGAAUUUUGUUCGUACGUACGAACAAAUCUGGGCUGUUCGAACAGAAUGUCAGAACUAAAAUAAUGCGGAAUAUGGAUUAUUGUUUGUACGUACGAACAGCCAGGAUUUGUUCGUACGUACGAAAAAAAUUCCAAAUUGCAUUAAAAAUUUGAAAAAAAGAACAAGAAUAUGUGAACUUAAUUUUGAAUUUUGUUCGUACGUAGGAACAAAUUUUGAUUAUUUAUUGCUAUGGUCUGCGAUUUCUUGAAUUUUUGCUGUGAUUUUCACCGGUAAAAAGUCCAUAUAGCGGCAAAAAAGAGGGACAGACCGGAAGAUCCUCUUUUAUUCCGGAAGCAGAUAUUUUAUAUAUCCUUUUUAAAUACCAUUUCUCUCAAAAUCUACAUUAAAAUCUGACCACCUUAUAAAGGUACAUGUUGUCAUUUCUCAACAUAAAAUUAGUUCAAGGCUUAGCCAAGAUUUCACAUCUAUAGUGUACAAAACUGCCUAAAAGGAUGACAAGUCACAAAGUGAACAAGAUUUAGCAAUAAUCCAAAGUUCCUUUUAGGUAUUUCCAAAUUUAUUAGCACUGCUUAGAUACACUGGAAAUGACAUUUUCCGAACUUUCCGCGAUAACUACCGAAAUUGCAAACUCCAACGCAAUGAUCUCCCUUGCCGCUUCGCUCAUUGAUCACUGCCACCACAACAUUCACGUGACCUAGGUUCAUCACGUGAUGUCAGAUCGGUUAAAAAAAUAACUUAUGUAUUAAUAUGUCAUUAUGAUAACAAUAACAUAUCGUGGCCAGCAGGAAAAUAUUCAAAAGCCUCCAUCUGUUUCGGCCAGGGUCAAAUGGCAGCAUUAUAAUAGUGAACGGCGUCAAAGAUUAACGUCGAUAUACUCGUUUGUAUACUUUCAGUUUCAUUUCAAAAUACUUAACGGUCGUGUAAAUAAAUACCUAUUUUCAUUCGGAAUCAUUAUUAUUUUCAUUAUGGAACAUUCGCCUGUGCUAAAAGAAGUGUAAACUUCGAAAACAUUGGGGAAAAAAUAACUAAAUAAUCAUAUAACUAAAAGAAGUCCACUUAGCUAAAUUUUAGCUAAAAACAUUGUGUUGGCAGUGAUCAAUGAGCGAAGCGGCAAGGGAGAUCACUGCGUUGGAGUUUGCCGAAAUUGCUAACAUAUAAUUGAUUGCAUCAUAGAAACUUUAGAUAGGCAUUAUCCCGAUACAUGCAAAUAUCUUCCGAGCAAUCGUGAAACAGCAAGCCGCGGUAUUUCCGCGCCCGCAAUAUACAUUUCAGCUUGUGCUGCUAAUGACAUAUUCGUUACUUUCUUAGUGUGAAUGAAAACACUAUUCAAUUAAUAUCGUAUUACUGGUCCGCGGACUUAGACCUUACUAAAAAACAGGGUAGUCAGAUUUUCUAAUUUUAAAGCUGGAUGUUAAAAGGAAAUGAAACACCAAAAAUGUCCUCAAAAUAUCUUGGCACAUUUUGGAUAUCGCACAAUGCAUUAGGUUGAAAAUAGUACACGCUGUAUUCAUGCAUAACUGAACACAGGACAAUUUAUAAACAAUCGACAAUUACUACGCGACAGUUAAUUAUAGUUGAAGCUGCGCACACAGAAUUAAUUUAUAUAUUUAGUGAAGUUAGAUAUAUCUUAUGAGGAACUUCUACAAUUGAGGAAAAUAUCUAGAUAUAAAAUAUUGUAGUGGAUAUUUUUGAUGUAUUAUGUACCGUUAUAUGCAUGCAAUUUUGAAUUGUUAGAUAUAUCAUUUAUCAUCACGUUUUACAUCAAAUUAUUGACCCGAAAAUGAUACAUAGGAAACUAUUUAGUACAUUUGAUAAUGUAUUGUGAAAUGUUGAUCGGAUCGCUUUUCAAAUGAAACGUGUCCAUUAUUGUUUUUGUAGCAUUUUGAAACAUUUUAAUAAAAUUACAGAGCACAUGUA